rnacentral:rRNA from 1 species
CGCACGAGAAAAGGGCUUCGGCCCCCAGUAAAGUGGCGGACGGGUGAGUAACACGUGGGUAAUCUACCUUUCAGUGGGGGAUAACUGUCCGAAAGGAUAGCUAAUACCGCAUACGUCGGCGAGGUCUGUGGACCUUGCCGGGAAAGCCGGCCUCUCCAUGGAAGCUGGCGCUGGAUGAGAAGCCCGCGGCCCAUCAGCUAGUUGGUAGGGUAAUGGCCUACCAAGGCUUAGACGGGUAGCUGGUCUGAGAGGAUGAUCAGCCACACUGGGACUGAGACACGGCCCAGACUCCUACGGGAGGCAGCAGUGGGGAAUAUUGGGCAAUGGGCGCAAGCCUGACCCAGCCACGCCGCGUGAGUGAUGAAGGCCUUCGGGUCGUAAAGCUCUGUGGGGAGGGACGAAAAAACGCUGAUUAACACUCGGCGGACUGACGGUACCUCCUUAGCAAGCACCGGCUAACUCCGUGCCAGCAGCCGCGGUAAUACGGAGGGUGCAAACGUUGCUCGGAAUCAUUGGGCGUAAAGCGCACGUAGGCGGCCCAGCAAGUCGGGUGUGAAAGCCCUCGGCUUAACCGAGGAAGUGCAUUCGAAACUACUGAGCUUGAAUACUGGAGAGGAUCGCGGAAUUCCCGGUGUAGAGGUGAAAUUCGUAGAUAUCGGGAGGAACACCAGUGGCGAAGGCGGCGAUCUGGACAGAUAUUGACGCUGAGGUGCGAAAGCGUGGGGAGCGAACAGGAUUAGAUACCCUGGUAGUCCACGCCGUAAACGAUGGAUGCUAGUCGUCGCGGGUAUUGACCCCUGCGGCAACGCAGUUAACGCAUUAAGCAUCCCGCCUGGGGAGUACGGCCGCAAGGCU